rnacentral:rRNA from 1 species
GAUGAACGCUGGCGGCGUGCCUAAUACAUGCAAGUCGAGCGAACAGACGAGGAGCUUGCUCCUCUGACGUUAGCGGCGGACGGGUGAGUAACACGUGGAUAACCUACCUAUAAGACUGGGAUAACUUCGGGAAACCGGAGCUAAUACCGGAUAAUAUAUUGAACCGCAUGGUUCAGUAGUGAAAGACGGUUUUGCUGUCACUUAUAGAUGGAUCCGCGCCGCAUUAGCUAGUUGGUAAGGUAACGGCUUACCAAGGCGACGAUGCGUAGCCGACCUGAGAGGGUGAUCGGCCACACUGGAACUGAGACACGGUCCAGACUCCUACGGGAGGCAGCAGUAGGGAAUCUUCCGCAAUGGGCGAAAGCCUGACGGAGCAACGCCGCGUGAGUGAUGAAGGUCUUGGGAUCGUAAAACUCUGUUAUUAGGGAAGAACAAAUGUGUAAGUAACUAUGCACGUCUUGACGGUACCUAAUCAGAAAGCCACGGCUAACUACGUG